UACGUAGGGUGCAAGCGUUGUCCGGAAUUAUUGGGGCGUAAAGAGCUCGUAGGCGGUUUGUCGCGUCUGCCGUGAAAGUCCGGGGCUCAACUCCGGAUCUGCGGUGGGUACGGGCAGACUAGAGUGAUGUAGGGGAGACUGGAAUUCCUGGUGUAGCGGUGAAAUGCGCAGAUAUCAGGAGGAACACCGAUGGCGAAGGCAGGUCUCUGGGCAUUAACUGACGCUGAGGAGCGAAAGCAUGGGGAGCGAACAGG
rnacentral:rRNA from 1 species